UACGUAGGGUGCGAGCGUUGUCCGGAAUUAUUGGGCGUAAAGAGCUUGUAGGCGGUUUGUCGCGUCUGCUGUGAAAAUCCGGGGCUCAACCCCGGACUUGCAGUGGGUACGGGCAGGCUAGAGGUAGGUAGGGGAGAAUGGAAUUCCUGGUGUAGCGGUGGAAUGCGCAGAUAUCAGGAGGAACACCAGUGGCGAAGGCGGUUCUCUGGGCCUUACCUGACGCUGAGGAGCGAAAGCGUGGGGAGCAAACAGG
rnacentral:rRNA from 1 species